CGUCACGUCACCUACCCUCAUACAUAGUCGUCGUUUACCGUUCCUUCCGAUUGCAGACAUCGCUCAAAAUUUGUAUAUCCUUCAUUUAAACCAGAUCUAAAUCGUGUUUAAACACAAACCAAAAUUAAAGAAUCCGACUGCCGAUGAUUUGUUAAUUGUUUGCAAGUGAAAAGACGUAUUACGAGUUUGUGCGUGAAUCUAACGAACAUAUCCUCCGGCAUCAGUUUAAUUCAUAGAUCAGCAUCGAUUCAACCACCUGGUUACAUCGUUAGCUUCACGCACAAACACAAAAUAAGCCUCUUCUCAAAAUCUCCGAAACACGAAAGACGCUUUCCCUGUCCCUGUGCGGACGAUGUGAGAGACUCCUCAGAUCUUCUCUUCCCUCGCCCUUGUCGCUCCGCUAUGUAUUUGUGUGCUGCGAGUUGGGCCCAAAAUCGCAAAUUAGCCCAGAGGUCCAAUAUUGUUGCAUCAUGCAAAUACUAUGUUUCAAGGACUUGAGAUGGGCAUCCACUCACUCCAGUAACUAAAGAAUGCCCUUAAGGCCGGACACUUGCAUUGGGAUGAUUACGAUAUACGAGCAGAUAGGAAGAAACUUUGUGUGGGUUGUGGAACCCGCUCCAACAGUCAUAUUUUCAAGUUUUUUAUUCUUUUUCUAGCUCAACGGGUAUCAAUCAAGUGUUGUUAUCAUUUUUUGGAUCUUGGGAUCAAGUCCUGUCUGAACAUAUGUCAUAAACAUAGAGUAAUUUAGAAAGUAAUUUAGAUUUGCUUUUCAGAAAAAAAAAAAAAAAUACUAGUAUAACAUUAUAAAUAUCCAUCUUCAUACAAUUUCAAAAUCA